AUUGAACGCUGGCGGCAUGCUUUACACAUGCAAGUCGAGCGGCAGCGCGGGGGGCAACCCUGGCGGCGAGCGGCGAACGGGUGAGUAAUGCAUCGGAACGUACCCUGGAGUGGGGGAUAACGCCGCGAAAGCGGCGCUAAUACCGCAUAUGCUCUGAGGAGGAAAGUGGGGGACCCGCAAGGGCCUCAUGCUCUGGGAGCGGCCGAUGUCCGAUUAGCUAGUUGGUGAGGUAAAGGCUUACCAAGGCGACGAUCGGUAGCUGGUCUGAGAGGAUGAUCAGCCACACUGGGACUGAGACACGGCCCAGACUCCUACGGGAGGCAGCAGUGGGGAAUUUUGGACAAUGGGGGCAACCCUGAUCCAGCCAUGCCGCGUGAGUGAAGAAGGCC
rnacentral:rRNA from 1 species